CUGCCCGUAGCUCAACUGGAUAGAGCAAUUGCCUUCUAAGCAAUAGGUCGGGGGUUCUUAUUCCAGGUUGU
rnacentral:tRNA from 1 species